CCAUCGCUCAGUUGGUAGAGCAUAAGGCUCUUAACCUUGUGAACGUGGAUUCAAGGCCCAUGAUGGG
rfam:Triticum aestivum genome assembly, contig: Triticum_aestivum_CS42_TGACv1_scaffold_222693_3B